UUAUUAUGAGAGUUUGAUCCUGGCUCAGGACGAACGCUGGCGGCGUGCCUAAUACAUGCAA
rnacentral:rRNA from 1 species